GAUGAACGCUGGCGGCGUGCCUAACACAUGCAAGUCGAGCGAUUCUCUUCGGAGAAGAGCGGCGGACGGGUGAGUAACGCGUGGGUAACCUGCCCUGUACACACGGAUAACAUACCGAAAGGUAUGCUAAUACGGGAUAACAUAAGAAAUUCGCAUGUUUUUCUUAUCAAAGCUCCGGCGGUACAGGAUGGACCCGCGUCUGAUUAGCUAGUUGGUGAGGUAAUGGCUCACCAAGGCGACGAUCAGUAGCCGACCUGAGAGGGUGAUCGGCCACAUUGGAACUGAGACACGGUCCAAACUCCUACGGGAGGCAGCAGUGGGGAAUAUUGCACAAUGGGCGAAAGCCUGAUGCAGCAACGCCGCGUGAGCGAUGAAGGCCUUCGGGUCGUAAAGCUCUGUCCUCAAGGAAGAUAGUGACGGUACUUGAGGAGGAAGCCCCGGCUAACUACGUGCCAGCCGCCGCCGUAA
rnacentral:rRNA from 1 species